GUGGGGAAUUUUGGACAAUGGGCGAAAGCCUGAUCCAGCCAUGCCGCGUGCAGGAUGAAGGCCUUCGGGUUGUAAACUGCUUUUGUACGGAACGAAAAGACUCCUUCUAAUAAAGGGGGUCCAUGACGGUACCGUAAGAAUAAGCACCGGCUAACUACGUGCCAGCAGCCGCGGUAAGACGUAGGGUGCAAGCGUUAAUCGGAAUUACUGGGCGUAAAGCGUGCGCAGGCGGUUUUGUAAGACAGGUGUGAAAUCCCCGGGCUCAACCUGGGAACUGCACUUGUGACUGUAUAGCUAGAGUACGGUAGAGGGGGAUGGAAUUCCGCGUGUAGCAGUGAAAUGCGUAGAUAUGCGGAGGAACACCGAUGGCGAAGGCAAUCCCCUGGACCUGUACUGACGCUCAUGCACGAAAGCGUGGGGAGCAAACAGGAUUAGAUACCCGGGUAGUCC
rnacentral:rRNA from 1 species